rnacentral:snRNA from 1 species
AUUCUUGUGCUCGGGCACGUACUGUCGCCAGUGAGGUCUUUACCGAGGCACAGUCUUUUGCUGAUUGCAAAUUACACAUCCGAACACGUCUGUUAGCUUCGGCUUUCAGCAAUUUUUGGAAAACCCCUCAUCCCGAUGACGACCUUCUGGUCAGAGGGGU